CAACAGCAUAGCAGUUUGUUUCUCCUCAGACAGAGAAAAAGCCGAAUAAAUCUAAACUGCUCUAAUCCACUCCUUAAUAUAAUAUUGUCCCCAUUUCAUCUACCGUUGUAGAAUGGGAUGACACCUGAGGCCUGCAGCUGUAGGAAGAUACAACUUCUCAUCUUACUCACAUCUUUCAUAAGGAAGGAAAAAAAAACAGACUCGCAACACAAAGAAACAACUGUAUUGUGUUCUAUAAUGACAAGAUUGUAAAGGCAUCUCCCUAUUGUUCUGUGUAUUCUUUCAUUCGCAGCAUUUAACACGCCUUUUUUUUCCUGAAAUGAAUAA